rnacentral:rRNA from 1 species
UAGGGAAUCUUCCACAAUGGACGCAAGUCUGAUGGAGCAACGCCGCGUGAGUGAAGAAGGCUUUCGGGUCGUAAAACUCUGUUAUUGAAGAAGAACGUGUGUGACAGUAACUGGUCAUGCAGUGACGGUAUUCAAUCAGAAAGUCACGGCUAACUACGUGCCAGCAGCCGCGGUAAUACGUAGGUGGCAAGCGUUGUCCGGAUUUAUUGGGCGUAAAGCGAGUGCAGGCGGUCUUUAAGUCUGAU